ensembl:lncRNA
AUGACCCUGCACUCUUUCUUACCCAGCUGUCAGUUGCACGCUGAGAGAGAAAAGGCCCUGCAAAGUAAUGGAUCCCUGUGCUGGAAGAUGCCGGCAACUCAAGGUAGGUCCACAAACGGAGAGGAAAUUUUUCCUGGAAUCUUGAAAGGAGGAACUUACCCUAGAUUAUCCAGGUGGCCUCUAAAUGCAAGUAUGUGUAUCCUUGUAAGAGAGAGGCAGAGGAAGAUUGGGACAGACCACACACACAGAGGUGAAGGCCAUGUGAAGAUGCAGCAGAAAGAGAUGCAGCCACAAACCAGGAAAUGCCAACAGCCACCAGAAGGUAGAAGAGGCCAGGAACAGGUUCUCCUCUAGAGCUUCAAGAGGGAGUACAUCCCUGAGAUUGCUGGCCUCCAGAGCUGUAAUGGAAUAAAUUUCUAUUAUUUUAAGUCACUGAGUUUGUGUUAGUUUGUUACAGCACCUAUAGGAAACUAAUGUGGUAUUUUACAAUUCUAAAAAUAAACUCAGGAGCUGUGAUGUAAUGACAGCAGGCACAUAAAUAACCUAAGUCUUCAAGUGAUGGCGAAUUCAGAGUGAUAUGGCUGUAACACAUACAGUGUCACCUUAGACUUCCUUAAUAGAAGAUGAGAAUACAGAACAAGGAAGUCAGUGUCCUGCUUUUCUCUACAUUGUUCAGACAAUAAUAUGCCCAGCUCUCUGUGCUACAGCUUUAAAAGGCAUUGACAUAUUGAAGUAUGUUUAAAGAAAAGAAAAUAUCACAAGGAGAAUGAAAUCAUGCAUAUGACAAAGAGUUGAAGAAAAGAAGUAGAGGUGUCUAGUGCUUAUUCUGAAAAAAACUUUGAAGCACAGAAUAUGGCAGCUGCCCUCAAACUACUCAGAAACCUGUCUUGUGGAAGAGGGAAAAGAUGAUCUCAUUCUCUUUGGCUCUAAAAUCAGGACCUAAAUUUAAGGAGAAGUUACAUCGAGGCCAGUUUAGGCUCCAAAGCCUCAAAUUUUGAUUGAUCUGCCUCAGUGGUGCUAGAUUGUCUGGAAUCUGAGGGGUUCACAAGUUGAAAUGAUUGCCUACUAGGGGAUAUUGUCUGAAAGAUUCAUGCAUAAGUUGGACGAGGAUGCCCCAGGGGACCAUUCAAAUAUGAUUUUGUAAUUCUACUGUUAUUGGUAGCAGAGGAGUAGGUCAAGUUUCUAUCCCACAACAUUGGAAGAUUUGUUCCUUUAUUGCUUAACCUCCUCCUCUUUUCCAGAACCACCCCCGCCCCUGCCAAAAAAAAACACACACAGCUUCUUUUACCCUUACUGAUAGUGUUAUUAUACAACAUUAAAGCACUCUUGACUUUCUGUGAACAGUGAAAAUUCUUUGUGACUUCCCUAGUUGCAGAGUCUAGUAUAAAAAACCAGCCCUGAAUCUAGGCUUGACUACUUAUAAGCAGAACUAGAUAAUGGCAGCCUACAUUCUAUUUUCCUACUGAAGUAUCCACUGACACAAACCCACACUCCCUUUUCUAAAAUGGUGAACUCUUCAACCUAUCCGUCUUUCCUAAGUAUUUUUGAACUUCGUUUUGUAAAGCUUGCUGAUCCUCUCCAUAUGAAUAAGAUAAAGUUGGCAGGAAUUGAACUUAGGCCUAUUUGUUUCUAACCUCUAAUUAAAUGCUAAUCCUACCCUCCAGAGAGCGGUGUCCUCAGCCAACUUACAGUGUACUUUCUCUUCCCUUUCACAUGUUCUCUAACCAACUAGAUAAACAAGACGGGACCCGGGGAACAACUCCAAAUCCUCCUCUUUGGCUGUGCUUAUCAAAGAGGAAAGCAGCGUGGAAUUCAAAGAACCAAUUAUUUGAGAGCUGCAAUAUCAAACUACUGUUUUUUUUCUAAUAUUGUAACUGCUUUUGAAAUUGCAGAGUAGUCCUUAUCUCCUCCCAAGCAGGAAGUGCUUCAUCAAUUACCAUCUUCUGGGCAUGACCCAUUAUGCCCAAGGCUCUAAACCAUGAAAGGAGAAAUCAAAUCAAAUCAAAUCUUGUUAGUGGUUUUUAAGUAUUCCAUAGGAGACCCCAAUUCUAAUAUGAGUGCCCCUUUUUAGAAAGAGAGCCUUGGAAGGUAUCAUUAAUAUGUAUCAUCAUUCCCUACCCUUUGGGU